GACUACCCGGGUAUCUAAGCCCGUUCGCUCCCCACGCUUUCGUGUCUCAGCGUCAGGACAGGCCCAGUGCGACGACUUCUCCACCGGCGUUCCUCUUGAUAUCUACGCAUUCCACCGCUCCACCAAGAGUUCCUCGCACCCCUACCUGCCUCAAGAAGCGCAGUUCAUCAAGCAAUUCCUCGGUUAAGCCGAGGGAUUUCACAAGACGCUUACGCUUCCGCCUACACACGCUUUAAGCCCAGUGAUUCCGAACAACGCUUGCCACCUUCGUCUUACCGCGGCUGCUGGCACGAAGUUAGCCGUGACUUCCUCUGGGUUAGAUCAAUCCGCCGAAACGGACUUUCUUCCCCCUGACAGUAGUUUACAUCCCGAAGGACUUCCUCCUACACGCGGCGUCGCUGGGUCAAGCUUUCGCUCAUUGCCCAAUAUUCGUUACUGCAGCCCCCCGUAGG
rnacentral:rRNA from 1 species